rnacentral:rRNA from 1 species
ACUAACUSCAAAUCAUAUAUUUUUAUAAAUAUGUGAUAACGUAAGGGAAGAUAAUGACAUUACCUUACUAUUAGUGUCGUCCAAAACUGGUGCCAGAAGACUCGGUAAGGCCAGAGACGCAAACGUUAGUCGUCCUAAUCAGGCGUAAAGGGUUUGUAGGCUGCUUUAUAAAAUUUAUAAUUAAUAAAUUUAAAUAUAAAACUAUUUAAAGCUAGAAUCAUAUAGAAGAUAUAUCAUAUAAUACUUAGAGUAGGGCUGAUAUUCACAUAUACUAAGGGGAAUACUAACGGCGAAAGCUUUUUUCUACUAAUGAUUGACGCUGAGAAACGAAGGUGAGGAUAUGAAAUAGGAUUAGAUACCCAAAUACUCCUUACAGUCAACGAUGAAUGGUGGUUGCUAAUUUUAGUAAAAAUUGGUAGCGAUGUUAACACGUUAACCAUUCCGCCUUGCGAGUACAACUGCAAAGUUGAAACCAAAAAAAUUAGUGGCU